AACGAACGCUGGCGGCAUGCCUAACACAUGCAAGUCGAACGAGACCUUCGGGUCUAGUGGCGCACGUGUGCGUAACGCGUGGGAACCUGCCCUUAGGUUCGGAAUAACUCCCCGAAAGGGGUGCUAAGACCGGAUAAUGUCUUCGGACCAAAGAUGUAUCGCCGUUGGAUGGGCCCGCGUUGGAUUAGCUAGUUGGUAGGGUAAAAGCCUACCAAGGCGACGAUCCAUAGCUGGUCUGAGAGGAUGAUCAGCCACACUGGGACUGAGACACGGCCCAGAAUCCUACGGAAGGCAGCAGUGGGGAAUAUUGGACAAUGGGCGAAAGCCUGAUCCAGCAAUGCCGCGUGAGUGAUGAAGGCCUUAGGGUUGUAAAGCUCUUUUACCCGGGAUGAUAAUGACAGUACCGGGAGAAUAAGCUCCGGCUAACUCCGUG
rnacentral:rRNA from 1 species